rnacentral:rRNA from 1 species
UGAACGCUGGUGGCAUGCUUAACACAUGCAAGUCGAACGGCAGCGCGGGGAAGCUUGCUUUCCUGGCGGCGAGUGGCGGACGGGUGAGUAACGCGUGGGAAUCUGCCCGAUUGUGGGGGAUAACCCGAGGAAACUCGGGCUAAUACCGCAUAAGCCCUGAGGGGGAAAGGUGGGGAUCUUUUCGGAGACCUGCCGCAAACGGAUGAGCCCGCGUCCGAUUAGCUAGUUGGUGAGGUAAGAGCUCACCAAGGCGACGAUCGGUAGCUGGUCUGAGAGGAUGAUCAGCCACACUGGGACUGAGACACGGCCCAGACUCCUACGGGAGGCAGCAGUGGGGAAUAUUGGACAAUGGGGGAAACCCUGAUCCAGCAAUGCCAUGUGUGUGAAGAAGGCCUGCGGGUUGUAAAGCACUUUCAGUGGGGAAGAGGGGUAUUGAGUUGAUAAGGCUUGAUGCUUGACGUUACCCACAGAAGAAGCACCGGCUAACUCCGUGCCAGCAGCCGCGGUAAU